rnacentral:rRNA from 1 species
UCCACGCCCUAAACGAUGAACACUAGUCGUCGGGAUGCUAGUCAUCUCGGUGAUGCACUUAACAGAUUAAGUGUUCCGCCUGGGGAGUACGGUCGCAAGAUUAAAACUCAAAGGAAUAGACGGGGACCCGCACAAGUGGUGGAGCAUGUGGUUUAAUUCGAAGAUACGCGAAGAACCUUACCUAGCCUUGACAUUGAAGAAACACAGUAGAGAUACAGUGGUGCCCUUCGGGG